AACGAAGAGUUGCUGCUCCAAUUUUAUGCCACACUUCACAUACAUGGUUACAACAGAGAUCCGAAGACUUGGGUCCUUGAGUGGAUGACAGGAAAUGUUCAUCACAAAGCCAAAGCCUUUGAUAUCAUUGAGCUCACUGGUCUGCCCACUCCUGGAGAUCUCUAUGAACCUGGCUGUCAGCUUCACAGUGAAGCUAUGGAGAGCAUCUUUCACAAGCCUGAACUGAACAUGAGUCAGAUGCUCAGUAUGAUGAAGCCUUUGCCACAAGAUGCUGCAUAUCCUAAGGAGUUCUUUGUUGAAGACCUGGAGUAUCUGCCAAGGACUAUCUAUCACAUUCUACGGCGAACUCUUUGGCCCAUCAAAGGACAUUCUCCACAU
rnacentral:rRNA from 1 species